GCGAAUUGCGUGGCGGGAGUCGGGGUGAUAGGGGAGGGGCUGGCGGUGGUCGGAAGGACUGGGCGGAAAGCGCGCGUAGGCGGCCAGGCAAGUGAGGCGUGAAAGGCCUGGGCGCAACCGGGGAACUGCGCUUCAGACGGCACGGCUGGAGGCCGGGAGAGGGUGGGGGAAUUCCCAGUGUAGAGGUGAAAUUCGUAGAUAUUGGGAGGAACACCAGUGGCGAAGGCGGCCACCUGGCCCGGUACUGACGCUCAAGUGCGAAAGCGUGGGGAGCAAACAGGAUUAGAUACCCGGGUAGUC
rnacentral:rRNA from 1 species